rnacentral:lncRNA from 1 species
AAUAAUUCUGUACAAAAAUUGGGCCAAACAAGCCCAAAUAAAAAGGAAACAAAGAAAAGAACAGAACAAGAACGUCUGGACUAUGGGCCCUUUCCAUUUUUUCUAUGCUUUAAAACAUUUUCCACUAUCCACUUUUAUGGGAUUUUUUCUUUUAACAAAACAAGGAAAUCAUUCUUCUUCUUCUUCUUGUUUCAAAGAAAGAGCAGCCAGCCCAAC